rnacentral:rRNA from 1 species
GACGAACGCUGGCGGCGUGCCUAAUACAUGCAAGUAGAACGCUGAAGAGAGGAGCUUGCUCUUCUUGGAUGAGUUGCGAACGGGUGAGUAACGCGUAGGUAACCUGCCUUGUAGCGGGGGAUAACUAUUGGAAACGAUAGCUAAUACCGCAUAACAAUGGAUGACACAUGUCAUUUAUUUGAAAGGGGCAAUUGUUCCACUACAAGAUGGACCUGCGUUGUAUUAGCUAGUAGGUGAGGUAAUGGCUCACCUAGGCGACGAUACAUAGCCGACCUGAGAGGGUGAUCGGCCACACUGGGACUGAGACACGGCCCAGACUCCUACGGGAGGCAGCAGUAGGGAAUCUUCGGCAAUGGGGGCAACCCUGACCGAGCAACGCCGCGUGAGUGAAGAAGGUUUUCGGAUCGUAAAGCUCUGUUGUAAGUCAAGAACGGGUGUGAGAGGGAAA